CAGAAAAACACCAUGUACAAAAAGAAGGGAGAAAAGAAGGUUAGGAGGAGAAAAAGAUCCGAGGAAAACGGGGCGACGAACUCUCUUGUCCCAAUUUUCCUUCUCUUUUUCUCGUUCCCUCCAACCAUUGCGCGAUUGUCGUUGUUGUUAUUAUUGUUGUUGUUCGUAGUUGUAGAUGUUGGAGUUAGUUGAUGAUUCGAUGUGUAAAGUAAAUUAAA
rnacentral:ribozyme from 13 species